GAUGAACGCUGGCGGCGUGCUUAACACAUGCAAGUCGAACGGACUUUGAUGAAACCUAGUGAUUCAAAGUUAGUGGCGGACGGGUGAGUAACGCGUGGGUAACCUGCCUCACACUGGGGGAUAACACUUAGAAAUAGGUGCUAAUACCGCAUAAGCGCACAGUAUCGCAUGAUACGGUGUGAAAACUCCGGUGGUGUGAGAUGGACCCGCGUCUGAUUAGCUAGUUGGUGAGGUAACGGCCCACCAAGGCAACGAUCAGUAGCCGGCCUGAGAGGGUGAACGGCCACAUUGGGACUGAGACACGGCCCAA
rnacentral:rRNA from 1 species